AUGUUGGGUGUUUUUAGUCUCCGCGCACAAUCGAAAAAAAAACGAAUACAAACGUACGCUCAGCCGACUCAAACGAGUACAAAACACGGUCGCUGCCUUGGAGUUGCUCUAACCCGCAUCUGUGUGAACGGCUGGACCGAUCCCGGCCGAGCGAUAAAGUUCAAAAUUCCAAAUCGGCCACGAUUCUCGAAAGACGACAGCCCCUCUCUCGGCGGCGAUGCGACCGGCGGCGGCGCUGAGCCUACCUGCCAGACACUACCAGGGAGUGCGCUAGGCAGAGGCGGCGUAGCGAUGCCUGCAGUCGCCGCCGCCAGACUGAAGCGGGAGGACUGCCCCCGCACCAAACACGACUCCCUCUUCUCCCCAUGGAAGGUUCUUGUGGGGCCGUCGGACUGGGAGGACCACUCCGCCGGCAAGGAGGGGGUCCAGAGGUAUCACACACGCAACCUCCCGGAUAACUUCCCUGGUCUCUACGAGCUGGGCGUUGCAAGGCCUUCCUAUGAUGGUGUCAGGGCUGGCAGAAAUCGAUCAGUCGUCGUCGUGGUGGUGUACCUCGGGCAGGCCGAUAGUGUCAGGGCGAGGCUCCAGCAGUACGGACGGACAGGGUCACACCUGGACACCGGGAAUCCGUUGGCUGCUGUCGGUAAAGCUGAGAUGAACGCGCUCACGGCAGGACCUGGAUUGUUCAGGGAAGUCUUCUCCAGAGGUUACUCCGUGAUGUUUCGAUGUGCGCUGAUGGGUUCCAAAAAAGCAGCUGAGAAGACUGAAGCUCAGCUACUGGGAGUAUUUGAUUAUGCAUGGAACAAACUGCAGAAUGGUGUGUGUCGUCGCGAAGAAAUACUGCUCAAGUUAGAACAGGGAAGCCAUAGAUUAUCUUUGCUUGGCAGAGUUCAGCACUUCAAACAGAGGGUGUUUGGAGAGAAAGCAGGUAUAAAGAUUAACAGCAGUGGGUCUGUUGAGAUUUCAUCUGGCAGUAUGAAAAAUAUGCUUCCAAGAGUACGUAGGUUUGUCGGCUUCAGACCUCGUUUAGUUAACUCUGGUGACGGUUUAAAUGAGGCAAUUGAUAUUCACCGGAAAUGCACACCUCAGACCAAUACUGCUGGUAAUAAACAAGCACGUAGAAAGUCUGAAGGAUACAAGGUGAAAAAGAUCGAUGUUAUUAAACGGCAAACUGUGCCGACAAGAGAAGCCGAAGCUGUUUGUGGUGUAAUGCUAGAAGAUGGUUCUUCUUGUCUAGAGGAUCCAAUGGAAGGAAGGAAAAGGUGUGAGUUGCACAAAGGUAGAAGAGUCAAGAGUCGCAUACAGUCGCAAAGUAUCCUCUUCUAG
rnacentral:rRNA from 1 species